UGACAUCUGUCCCAGAGUUGGC
rnacentral:piRNA from 2 species